UGCAAUUGUGUUUAAGCUAAAUAAACGAUUAUAAUGAUAAACUGUUUAUUAGAAGUAUGUCUUCGUUAUAGAUAUCAACUACCUGAUGUUACGGACGACACUAUUACGCUCCAUAAACAGAAUGGCUGCGAGUGAGAUAGACUAUACAACGAUAUAUUCCCGACGACUCAGUUCAUAACGCGGGCAUUAUAGUAAGAUAAUUAGUGUAUAAAUAUAUUACGGGGAUAUAAUAAACGGGGAUAAUCAGUUCAGACGCGAAUAGUGUUUGACCAGAUCACCAUGUCACUUACAUUUUUCAUAAUCAUUUUAUUAGCGAUAAUACUGAUAGCACCAGUACCCUCAGAAGCGUUUUCGCAACGCUUUACUGAUUUGAAAUGCCCACCGAGUUACCGGAGAUGGUUAAAUUACUGCGUCCGUGAUAGAAGAAUUUGACCAUACUCAAGAUCCAGCAAUUUCCAAAAUUCCAUCACGAGAUCGACAAAUGCAUCACCGCGGUGGUGAACUCGGCCUUCUUCGUCCAGUCGCGUCAAGAUUCAAGUCCCCGGUCCAGCGCUGGAAUUCUAUGCGACGUGCACUGUCAAGUUAACUUUUUUUACAGUCCACCAACAUAAAUUAGUACACGGCGAUUUGUUAUCAAUCCAUUACUAUAUUACUACAGGGUAUGUACGGGUUUAUUUUAAAUACUCAAUCUAAUCCAUAAUCUUUAGAUUACAGAUUGAAUUUAGAAGCGCUGUUCCUUUUCUCUGUAGAUAAGGAUAGCACUUCUUAGUUGAACCUGCCAUCUGAGAGCGUUGAUUAGAUCAAUUUAUAAGUUUGGGCUUUAGUUUCCAAUUAUUCGUUUGAAAGAAACAAAGAUUUUUUUCCUAUUAUAAUCCUGCAAAAUCAAUAAUAUUUUUGUACCUUUUUAAUUUUGGAAAGGGUUCAUUGUUUGUGAGCGGUAAAAAGUCAGAUUAUUGUUCAAGAGUAACAACGUCUAAUUUUCAAUUCAAAGCACGCCUUUUUAUCUGACUCGAAAAAACGCGAAGGUCGUAUCUUUUUCAUUGAAAAAAUGGGGCUUGUCAAUCUUUUUACUAGCAUAAAUAUAUAUCAUAAAUAUCUAUUCUAGUAUAUAUACAUUUAUACCGGUAUUUUUGUAGUUAUUAUGUUAAUAUAGUAUGUAUGUUAAUGUAGGUUUAUUUUACUUUUUGUAACACACUUUAUGCACUAUCCACUUUCCAACUUUUAAUCGGCUUCGCACGCUCAGGUUGUCUUAAAUAAAUCACUUUUAGUGAUAAGGCCGCCUUUGCACCCUAGCACUAAGUACUAUUACUGUUUCUCUUGUGUUUUUCCUACUGUGUUGUGUUUCAAUAAAGUUUUUCUAUUCUA